GGGGAUUUAGCUCAGUGGUAGAGCGCUUGCCUAGGAAGCACAAGGGUCUGGGUUCAGUCCCCAGCUCCG
rnacentral:tRNA from 1 species